CAGCCGCCGCGGUAAUACGAAGGGUGCAAGCGUUAAUCGGAAUUACUGGGCGUAAAGCGCACGCAGGCGGUCUGUCAAGUCAGAUGUGAAAUCCCCGGGCUUAACCUGGGAACUGCAUUUGAAACUGGCAGGCUAGAGUCUUGUAGAGGGGGGUAGAAUUCCAGGUGUAGCGGUGAAAUGCGUAGAGAUCUGGAGGAAUACCGGUGGCGAAGGCGGCCCCCUGGACAAGGACUGACGCUCAGGUGCGAAAGCGUGGGGAGCAAACAGGAUUAGAUACCCCUGUAGUCCCUGUCUCUUAUAC
rnacentral:rRNA from 1 species